AGCGAACGCUGGCGGCAUGCUUAACACAUGCAAGUCGCACGAGGGUUUCGGCCUUAGUGGCGGACGGGUGAGUAACGCGUAGGGAUCUAUCCAUGGGUGGGGGAUAACACUGGGAAACUGGUGCUAAUACCGCAUGAUACCUGAGGGUCAAAGGCGCAAGUCGCCUGUGGAGGAGCCUGCGUUCGAUUAGCUAGUUGGUGGGGUAAAGGCCUACCAAGGCGAUGAUCGAUAGCUGGUUUGAGAGGAUGAUCAGCCACACUGGGACUGAGGCACGGCCCAGACUCCUACGGGAGGCAGCAGUGGGGAAUAUUGGACAAUGGGGGCAACCCUGAUCCAGCAAUGCCGCGUGUGUGAGGAAGGUCUUCGGAUUGUAAAGCACUUUCGACGGGGACGAUGAUGACGGUACCCGUAGAAGAAGCCCCGGCUAACUUCGUGCCAGCAGCCGCCGUAA
rnacentral:rRNA from 1 species